rnacentral:rRNA from 1 species
UGGGGGAUAUUGCACAAUGGGCGAAAGCCUGAUGCAGCGACGCCGCGUGGGGGAUGAAGGCUUUCGGGUUGUAAACCUCUUUCGCUAUCGAACAAGGCCCGCUUAGGGUGGGUUGAGGGUAGGUGGAGAAGAAGCGCCGGCUAACUACGUGCCAGCAGCCGCGGUAAUACGUAGGGCGCGAGCGUUGUCCGGAAUUAUUGGGCGUAAAGGGCUUGUAGGCGGCUUGUUGCGCCUGCUGUGAAAACGCGGGGCUUAACUUCGCGCGUGCAGUGGGUACGGGCAGGCUUGAGUGUGGUAGGGGUGACUGGAAUUCCAGGUGUAGCGGUGAAAUGCGUAGAGAUCUGGAGGAAUACCGGUGGCGAAGGCGGCCCCCUGGACGAAGACUGACGCUCAGGUGCGAAAGCGUGGGGAGCAAACAGG